UCCCAGCUGCCACUGGAGGCCUGCGUGAGAAAUCUCCCACUUUCAGUCGGGGCAGAGGAAGGGGACUCCUCGACUCGACAGGUAAGAUUUCCCGGGAACAGUGCAAACGGCACCUGGAAAGUGCCAUCCUAUCCUGUUUACAUGUGUUAGACCCAGCUGGAAAUUCCCAGAUGACUUAGACUACGGGAUUUGUCUUUCAGUGUUUUGAUCCAUCCAUUACCUGGGGAACUGAGUGUUCCAGGUUUACCUAUGUUGUCAUCCAGGGCUUGGGUUUCUUCUUUGAAACUCCUAACAUCUGUAGAGAACACACUCCUUUUCUUUGGCAUUGUUCUCUCAAUGGACAAUCAAUGAGAGUUGUACAUCUUGGCUUUGUGUGCUCAUGGCUGGGAUGAAACAGGAAAUGCCCAUAUCCCAGAGACCCCAGAUCUCAAUUCUUCAGAGGUAUAAUAAAUCCGAGAGUGGGGAACUGGAUCCA